rnacentral:sRNA from 1 species
AGAUAUUCCCCAUGGGUAUUAUAUUUUCGAUGUGUUGUGAAUAAAAAUAUUCGAUUUGCAACUGAUUAUAUAUACGGCAUCAUCAUUAUCAUCAUCAAUUCAGGAACAAAAGGUAAAGCACCCUAAUAUAUAUAUAUAUAAUAUAACUGACCAGCUUCUAACAAACCCUCUAUACAACCCAAUCCAGCAAAACAGAGGCCAACCGAAGUAGGACAACUAAAUAAUAACAACAAAUAUUGUUCUAUCAACUGACUAUAUGCCAAGGUAGUCCUUGAUCCUAUUAAACCAUGAACGACCGGCGCCAAACGGGUAUACAUACACUCCGCAAUCCCCAUCAACGCAAUUGAGAUCACACCGCCCGUAGACCUGGCAAUAGCAUUGCCUUGGAUCGGGACAGUGUAUUGCCGGUUUCCCAAACAAAGCUGAGUUCGUAUUAGUAAGAGAAUAAUAAGAGAAUAGUAAGAGAAUAACAUAUCAAGCA